rnacentral:rRNA from 1 species
AUUGAACGCUGGCGGCAUGCUUUACACAUGCAAGUCGAACGGUAACAGGUUAAGCUGACGAGUGGCGAACGGGUGAGUAAUGCGUCGGAACGUGCCCAGUCGUGGGGGAUAACGCAGCGAAAGCUGUGCUAAUACCGCAUACGAUCUAUGGAUGAAAGCGGGGGACCGUAAGGCCUCGCGCGAUUGGAGCGGCCGAUGUCAGAUUAGCUAGUUGGUGGGGUAAAAGGCCCACCAAGGCGACGAUCUGUAGCUGGUCUGAGAGGACGACCAGCCACACUGGAACUGAGACACGGUCCAGACUCCUACGGGAGGCAGCAGUGGGGAAUUUUGGACAAUGGACGCAAGUCUGAUCCAGCCAUUCCGCGUGCAGGAUGAAGGCCCUCGGGUUGUAAACUGCUUUUGUACGGAACGAAAAGGUUUUCAUUAAUACUGGGAGCUCAUGACGGUACCGUAAGAAUAAGCACCGGCUAACUACGUG